rnacentral:rRNA from 1 species
GCGGAGCCGUAGCGAAAGCGAGUUUUAACUGAGCGUUCAGUUACUUGACGUAGACCCGAAACCGGGCGACCUACCCAUGAGCAGGAUGAAGCGAAAGUAAAAUUUCGUGGAGGUCCGAACCCACGAGCGUUGAAAAGCUCGGGGAUGACUUGUGGGUAGCGGUGAAAUUCCAAUCGAGCCCGGAGAUAGCUGGUUCUCCCCGAAAUAGCUUUAGGGCUAGCCUCAAGGUGAGAGAUACGGAGGUAGAGCACUGAAUGUCCUAGGGGGUAUUGCACCUACCGAAGACUAUCAAACUCCGAAUGCCGUCAUCUUAUACUUGGGAGUCAGACUGUGGGUGAUAAGAUUCAUAGUCGAAAGGGCAACAGCCCAGAUCGUCAGCUAAGGUCCCUAAAUGUAAGUUAAGUGGUAAAGGAUGUGGGAUUGCACAGACAACCAGGAUGUUGGCUUAGAAGCAGCCACUCAUUCAAAGAGUGCGUAAUAGCUCACUGGUCGAGUGAUCCUGCGCCGAAGAUUUCCGGGGCUAAAACUUACUACCGAAGCUACGGCAUCAGUAAUGAUGGGUAGGGGAGCUUCCCAUACGGGUUGAAGCAUGACCGUAAGGACAUGUGGACAGUAUGGGAGUGAGAAUGUUGGCAUGAGUAGCGAGAUGUGGGUGAGAAUCCCACAGGCCGUAAACCCAAGGUUUCCAGGGGAAGGUUCGUCCGCCCUGGGUUAGUCGGGACCUAAGCUGAGGCCGAAAGGCGUAGGUGAUGGACAACAGGUUGAUAUUCCUGUACUACCGAUAACCGUUUGAGAGAAGGGAUGACACAGUAGGAUAAGCUAAGCACACUGUUGGUUAUGUGUGCCCAAGCAUUGAGGCAGUCAAAGUAGGCAAAUCCGCUUUGAUAAUGCUGGGAUGUGAUGGGGAGCGAAAUUUAGUAGCGAAGUAGCUGAUUUCACACUGUCAAGA